UAGCUAGUUGGUGAGGUAAAGGCUUACCAAGGCGACGAUCUGUAGCGGGUCUGAGAGGAUGAUCCGCCACACUGGAACUGAGACACGGUCCAGACUCCUACGGGAGGCAGCAGUGGGGAAUUUUGGACAAUGGGGGCAACCCUGAUCCAGCCAUGCCGCGUGAGUGAAGAAGGCCUUCGGGUUGUAAAGCUCUUUCGGCCGGGAAGAAAUCGCAUGGGCCAAUACCCUGUGUGGAUGACGGUACCGGAAUAAGAAGCACCGGCUAACUACGUGCCAGCAGCCGCGGUAAUACGUAGGGUGCGAGCGUUAAUCGGAAUUACUGGGCGUAAAGCGUGCGCAGGCGGUUUUGUAAGACAGGCGUGAAAUCCCCGGGCUUAACCUGGGAACUGCGUUUGUGACUGCAAGGCUAGAGUACGGCAGAGGGGGGUGGAAUUCCACGUGUAGCAGUGAAAUGCGUAGAGAUGUGGAGGAACACCAAUGGCGAAGGCAGCCCCCUGGGUCGAUACUGACGCUCAUGCACGAAAGCGUGGGUAGCAAACAGGAUUAGAUACCCUGGUAGUCCACGCCCUAAACUAUGUCAACUGGGUGUUGGGUGGGUAAAACCAUUUAGUACCGUAGCUAACGCGUGAAGUUGACCGCCUGGGGAGUACGGCCGCAAGGUUAAAACUCAAAGGAAUUGACGGGGACCCGCACAAGCGGUGGAUGAUGUGGAUUAAUUCGAUGCAACGCGAAAAACCUUACCUACCCUUGACAUGCCAGGAACUUGCCAGAGAUGGCUUGGUGCCCGAAAGGGAGCCUGGACACAGGUGCUGCAUGGCUGUCGUCAGCUCGUGUCUUGAGAUGUUGGGUUAAGUCCCGCAACGAGCGCAACCCUUGUCGUUAAUUGCCAUCAUUUAGUUGGGCACUUUAACGAGACUGCCGGUGACAAACCGGAGGAAGGUGGGGAUGACGUCAAGUCCUCAUGGCCCUUAUGGGUAGGGCUUCACACGUCAUACAAUGGUCGGUACAAAGGGUUGCCAAGCCGCGAGGCGGAGCCAAUCCCAGAAAGCCGAUCGUAGUCCGGAUUGCAGGCUGCAACUCGCCUGCAUGAAGUCGGAAUCGCUAGUAAUCGUGGAUCAGCAUGUCACGGUGAAUACGUUCCCGGGUCUUGUACACACCGCCCGUCACACCAUGGGAGCGGGUUCCGCCAGAAGUAGGUAGCCUAACCGCAAGGGGGGCGCUUACCACGGCGGGGUUCGUGACUGGGGUGAAGUCGUAACAAGGUAGCCGUAGGGGAACCUGCGGCUG
rnacentral:rRNA from 1 species